rnacentral:rRNA from 1 species
UAGGGAAUCUUCCACAAUGGGCGAAAGCCUGAUGGAGCAACGCCGCGUGUGUGAUGAAGGCUUCGGUCGUAAAGCACUGUUGUAUGGGAAGAACAGCUAGAAUAGGAAAUGAUUUUAGUUUGACGGUACCAUACCAGAAAGGGACGGCUAAAUACGCGCCAG